UACGGAGGGUGCUAGCGUUGUUCGGAAUUACUGGGCGUAAAGGGCGCGUAGGCGGCCGCGUGCGUCGGAUGUGAAAGCCCGGGGCUCAACCCCGGAACGGCAUCCGAUACGGGGCGGCUCGAGGCCGAGAGAGGUGAGUGGAAUACCCAGUGUAGAGGUGAAAUUCGUAGAUAUUGGGUGGAACACCGGUGGCGAAAGCGGCUCGCUGGAUCGGUUCUGACGCUGAGGCGCGAAAGCGUGGGGAGCAAACAGG
rnacentral:rRNA from 1 species